GUUUGGCUUCCACUCUUGGUAGUUCUGGUAACUGCUGCUAACUAUCUUUCCACUAUGCACAUAUAAAAGCACGAUUAGUCUUAAACUUCGAGAUCGAUAAUUAUACACUAUCGGUCUUUAACUAAUCUUGAUGUAGUUUGUAUUGGCCGUGUCUUUUUAUUCAACCUACAAUAUGAGCAUCUAUUCCUGGAAAUCUAGGAUUAGUAUGAUCAUGUCGAUCUUUCAUUGGCUAUCUUUCAUGGCCAAGGCGAUCUUAUCAGCUUCCUUAUUUAUAUUAUGACCGAAAUCUAUCUAUUCAGCCUAGAUUUCCAUCCAUUAUGCUUUUUCAUAACUGAACUCUAUCUAGUCUUCACAAGAGUCACAUAAGUCUCACAUGCACUGAUUUUAUCAUGCUUAAUCCAUGUGGUCUUUGCUCUUAGCUGCUAGCUAUAUUAUUAAGAUAUGGUGUAAGCAAUGCUCACAACAUCUUACUGAUCGGGGAUCGCGAGGCUAAUGGGAUGUCCAUCACUAUCUACUUGAUACCUAUAGAACAAAUAUCAUACAAUUAUGGUUUUGAUCUACUGACUGAGGGUUGCUCUUUUACCAGAGUAUUUACCUUCGAUAAUCCGCUUGUAUCUCUUCUGAUUCCACUAAGCCUUUCUCUCUUGGCAUAUCUCCUCAUAUGGAAUGCUUGUAGGACCAAAACGGCUUGCAUGCUAUUCAAGGAUCCUCCAAAUUUUUAGGGAUUUGGCAUUAUCUUCUGCAUAAAUGGGGCACAAUUGUCCUCUAAAAAUAGACCCUACAUCCCUC
rnacentral:lncRNA from 1 species